rnacentral:tRNA from 1 species
UCACAAAUAACGCAGUUGGUAGAGCGUUAGACUAUAGAUCGAAAAAUCGCUGGUUCUAUCCCGGGUCCCGGUA